GACGAACGCUGGCGGCGUGCUUAACACAUGCAAGUCGAACGGUAAGGCCCUUCGGGGUACACGAGUGGCGAACGGGUGAGUAACACGUGGGUGAUCUGCCCUGCACUUCGGAAUAAGCCUGGGAAACUGGGUCUAAUACCGGAUAGGACUCCGGACUGCAUGGUCUGGGGUGGAAAGCUUUUGCGGUGUGGGAUGGGCCCGCGGCCUAUCAGUUUGUUGGUGGGGUGAUGGCCUACCAGGGCGACGACGGGUAGCCGGCCUGAGAGGGUGACCGGCCACACUGGGACUGAGAUACGGCCCAGACUCAUACGGGAGGCAGCAGUGGGGAAUAUUGCACAAUGGGCGCAAGCCUGAUGCAGCGACGCCGCGUGAGGGAUGACGGCCUUCGGGUUGUAAACCUCUUUCAGCAUCGACGAAGCGAAAGUGACGGUAGGUGCAGAAGAAGGACCGGCCAACUACGUGCCAGCCGCCGCCGUAA
rnacentral:rRNA from 1 species